AUUGAACGCUGGCGGCAGGCUUAACACAUGCAAGUCGAGCGAGCGGCGGCCGGGUGCGUAAUGUCUGGGACACUGCCUGAGGGAGGGGGAUAAAUACUGAAAACGGUAGCUAAUACCGCAUACCAUCAGAUGUGCCCAAAUGGGAUUGGCUCGUAGGUGGGGUAAUGGCUCACCUAGGCGACGACCACUAGCUGGUCUGAGAGGAUGACCAGCCACACUGGAACGGAGACACGGUCCAGACUCCUACGGGAGGCAGCAGUGGGGAAUAUUGCACAAUGGGCGCAAGCCUGAUGCAGCCAUGCCGCGUGUGUGAAGAAGGCCUUCGGGUUGUAAAGCACUUUCAGCGAGGAGGCGUUACUCGCAGAAGAAGCACCGGCUAACUCCGUGCCAGCAGCCGCGGUAAUAC
rnacentral:rRNA from 1 species